rnacentral:rRNA from 1 species
AGUGAACGCUGGCGGUAGGCCUAACACAUGCAAGUCGAACGGCAGCACAGUAAGAGCUUGCUCUUACGGGUGACGAGUGGCGGACGGGUGAGGAAUACAUCGGAAUCUACUUUUUCGUGGGGGAUAACGUAGGGAAACUUACGCUAAUACCGCAUACGACCUACGGGUGAAAGCAGGGGAUCUUCGGACCUUGCGCGAUUGAAUGAGCCGAUGUCGGAUUAGCUAGUUGGCGGGGUAAAGGCCCACCAAGGCGACGAUCCGUAGCUGGUCUGAGAGGAUGAUCAGCCACACUGGAACUGAGACACGGUCCAGACUCCUACGGGAGGCAGCAGUGGGGAAUAUUGGACAAUGGGCACAAGCCUGAUCCAGCCAUACCGCGUGGGUGAAGAAGGCCUUCGGGUUGUAAAGCCCUUUUGUUGGGAAAGAAAAGCAGCAGGUUAAUACCCCGCUGUUCUGACGGUACCCAAAGAAUAAGCACCGGCUAACUUCGUG